rnacentral:lncRNA from 1 species
UAUUGAGCUUAGCUGUCUUAAUUCAUAAAAGUACGAUCAAUAGAUAAGUUAACAUGACUACCCAUUAUAAACGUGUUGAAUUCUAAGAUAAUAAGUGCAGCUGAUAUACUCCUCGGUUCCAUCACAACAAUCUUUAUUUUCUUUGGUCAAUGAAUCGCAACAAACGUGGAGAAUAAUUAACUAGUAUGAAAUUACAUAUUCCUCACU